AUACGUAGGGGGCGAGCGUUGUCCGGAAUGAUUGGGCGUAAAGGGCGCGUAGGCGGCCCGGUAAGUCUGGAGUGAAAGUCCUGUUUUUAAGAUGGGAAUUGCUUUGGAUACUGUCGGGCUUGAGUGCAGGAGAGGUAAGUGGAAUUCCCAGUGUAGCGGUGAAAUGCGUAGAGAUUGGGAGGAACACCAGUGGCGAAGGCGACUUACUGGACUGCAACUGACGCUGAGGCGCGAAAGUGUGGGGAGCAAACAGGAUUAGAUACCCUGGUAGUCCACACUGUAAACGAUGAAUGCUAGGUGUAAGAGGUAUCGACCCCUUCUGUGCCGCAGUCAACACAAUAAGCAUUCCGCCUGGGGAGUACGGCCGCAAGGUUGAAACUCAAAUGAAUUGACGGGG
rnacentral:rRNA from 1 species